UUCUUUUUACCUAAUCUCUUAAUAUAUAUGAACGGCAUCUUUGCUUAAGCCCCUUCAAUUAUUGCUUUCGAAUAUUCUCAUGGUAUUUGCUCUUUGUUUUUGAGGAUCCAAUUAGGAAGCAAAUCAUGGAGACUUGGCUGUUGACCUCAACACUCUCGUCUGCAUUGACCGCAGCAUUGACCUCUUCAAUAUCUUGGAUGUGAACCAGAAUUGGAAUAUUGGGUGUUCUUGUUUUUGAUACAUGUAAAGAGGUUUGGGGCAAUUUUGAUGCCUUCUGUGAAUCCCUCCAUCUGGGCUUAUCAAAAGAGGAGGAGGAACGAAGAGCCGUUGCUGGAGUAAAGGGUGGAAGCCGUUUCAAAGUGCUUGGCAUUCUCUUGCUAUAAAGCCAGAGAAGAUGAGAGAGCGCAAGGGGCAAGGAGAAAGCGACGAACGGGAGAAAAAGAAAAAACUGGGGCAGAACCGAGGAUAGGAAGAAGAAAACAGAGGAAGAAGAAACUAAAAAAAAAGAAAAGAGAGAAACCAGAGGGAGCUCACGUUCAACCUGCAGAACGUCAUGCUUUUAUUACCAUCUCCUUUGUCCUGAGCGGGGGCAAAAACCGAGGGGAUUAGUGAAGAGAUAAAAAGGGCAGACUUCGGUUCCCCUGUUUCUGCUCAAAGAAACAGAGGCCGUCCUCCAGCUUUAUAAAAGCCAGAGAAGGCCACGGAGGAAAAGGGGGGCCACUGCCCUCUAUAGGGCAAACAGACGCAAACAAAAGGAGACGAAAACGAAGAACACAAAGGGAACACAUGAGGACGAAGACGCAAACAGGGCACAAACUGGGGAGAAGCAACCGGAGAAAAAGCCAGCGCACCCAGAUUCGCCCUGGUCUUCAGAACCCAGAACACGAAGGGAACACAGGAGGACGAAGCCGCAAACAGAGGAACACCAAGAAAAAAAGAGGAGGAGAAAAUAGCAUCAGCCGGCCAGUCCUCCAUCCCCGUCAUACUCAUCUUCAAGUGCAGCGCCAUCAAUCAUGGCACUCCAGGAAACCACAUUCCUCUCCGGCAUCUCAUUAAACGACAUCCUUGCCAGCUCUAGCUCACCGCUUUUAGCAUACCCAUUAACCAUGCUCGUCCAAGAGAACACAUCUCUAACUCCCAUGGUAUCAAAGAUCCCUCUUGCAGAAUCCAAGCAGCCACAUUUCACAUUCAUGGUCACUUGCAUUUCUAGUUUUACAUAUUCGUGAAAACUCUUCCCUGAUCUCAAACCCCCCUUCUGCGAGCAAGCUGAACGAGCGGCUAUCAUAGUGACCUCUUCUGGCUCUACAUUACCCUCCACUGACAUCGAGUAAAAAAGCUUCCAGGUCUCAUCCCAACAGUUACGCUUAGAAUACCCAUCAGUCAUAGACAGAAAAUCCAUCUCUAGCAGGAAUUCCAUCAAACAAGUGUCAAGCAAAACCCAAACAACCACGCAGAUCAUAAAAACGAGCCAACCCAUCUUGAAACAACAUAGCAUAAACAAAACCCAUCUUUCGAAUACCACAAUGAACUGAUUUCCCUCCUAAAACUCUCAAAAACUGCGCUUUGAGCGCAAGAACAAAGCUCCUACAGUGCAUUUCAGCGCCAUUUUGAAGCAUUUGGCAGAAAAACAAGAAGCCGCUAUGGCCCAUUUUGGCUUCAGAGUAGCCUCUAAUCAUGGUAUUCCAAAUAUAAGUACUGGGGUUUUGUUUCUGCGAAAACAGAAGACGAGCAUGAUUUAUAUCUGCAGUGUGAGAGAGGGCAAAAGGCCAAGGCAAGACAAAGCUUGGGGGUAGAUUGGCCAGACUAUAAAGGAGAAGGACUUAUUUGUACUUGUUCCAAGAUUGUGAGUCAAAAUAAUACCGCUUCUUUUCCUUCAAACGCAAUCUCGUCCUACGUUCCAGGGAAUCUUUUUACCUAAUAUCGUAAUAUAUAUGAAUGGCAUCUUGGCUUAAGCUCCUUCAAUUAUUGCUUUCGAAUAUUCUCAUGGUAUUGCUCUUUGUUUUUGAGGAUCCAAAUAAUAAGCAAAUCAUGGAGACUUGGCUGUUGACCUCAACACUCUCGUCUGCAUUGACCGAAGCAUUGACCUCUUCGAUAUCUUGGAUGUGAACCAGGCUUGGAAUAUUGGGUGUUCUUGUUUUUGAUACAUGUAAAGAGGUUUGGGCCAAUUUUGAUGCCUUUGUGAAUCCCUCCAUCUGGGCUUAUCAAAAGAGGAGGAGAAAAGGAGCAUGUGCUCUAAGUCCACCCAAAGUUUCAUCAAUAAGGUCCACAGAGAGGGAGAGCUACAUCCUGCAUUUUCUUGAGAUUUCUGCGAGGUUUUUGUUCGGAUAAGCAACAAGGUGCACGAUAUUGUUGAAGGGCAAAUCCUUCCAUGCCUGUCCAAAUUUGAAGUCAUUUUCAAUUCAAUCUCCACGAUAUAUUUUUUAUAAUAUAAUAAUGCUAGAAUUACGCUCGAUCUCCUCAGCAAGCAUCGAGUAAUCGCGUUUGGAUUUCGAGUUCGACUGAUUUGAAAUGCUCGGUAGCCCAAAUAAUAAAUGGUGUCUGUGCCAUCGACCGAGACCGUCAGCACUAUGUCGUAAUAUAUAUGAAUGGCAUCUUGGCUUAAGCUCCUUCAAUUAUUUCUUUCGAAUAUUCUCAUGGUAUUGCUCUUUGUUUUUGAGGAUCCAAAUAAUAAGCAAAUCAUGGAGACUUGGCUGUUGACCUCAACACUCUCGUCUGCAUUGACCGAAGCAUUGACCUCUUCGAUCUCUUGGAUGUGAACCAGGCUUGGAAUAUUGGGUGUUCUUGUUUUUGAUACAUGUAAAGAGGUAGGCUAAGCAUCUCUUUCAAGAUCUCUCUAGCUGCUGCAGCGAUGCCAAAUCGCUUUCUUUCUUCAAGUUCCUUAGCAGGAGUAUUGUAUACCAACCAACUUUCUUUGCGUUUUGCUACAGGUUUGGGCCAAUUUUGAUGCCUUCUGUGAAUCCCUCCAUCUGGGCUUACCAAAAGAGGAGGAGGAACGCAUUUCAAUGGAUUCACUGACCAAAUUCCAAGCAAUCCAAUUGAACACAAGCAGAGAGCACACGAACUAAUGUUCACCAUUGGAACAAACACAGGCUCCAGCAUGUUACAAACCAUUCUAAAGCUUCCUAUGGGUGGUUACCCAGCAAUCAUGGCACUCCAGGAAACCACAUUCCUCUCCGGCAUCUCAUUAAACGACAUCCUUGCCAGCUCUAGCUCACCGCUUUUAGCAUACCCAUUAACCAUGCUCGUCCAAGAGAACACAUCUCUAACUCCCAUGGUAUCAAAGAUCCCUCUUGCAGAAUCCAAGCAGCCACAUUUCACAUUCAUGGUGACUUGCAUUUCUAGUUUUACAUAUUCGUGAAAACUCUUCCCUAAUCUCAAACCCCCCUUCUGCGAGCAAGCUGAACGAGCGGCUAUCAUAGUGACCUCUUCUGGCUCUACAUUACCCUCCACUGACAUCGAGUAAAAAAGCUUCCAAGUCUCAUCCCAACAGUUACGCUUAGAAUACCCAUCAGUCAUAGACAGAAAGUCCAUCUCUAGUAGGAAUUCCAUCAAACAAGUGUCAAGCAAAACCCAAACAACCACGCAGAUCAUAAAAACGAGCCAACCCAUCUUGAAACAACAUAGCAUAAACAAAACCCAUCUUUCGAAUACCACAAUGAACUGAUUUUCCUCCUAAAACUCUCAAAAACUGUGCUUUGAGCGCAAGAACAAAGCUCCUACAGUCCAUUUCUGCGCCAUUUUGAAGCAUUUGGCAGAAAAACAAGAAGCCACUAUGGCCCAUUUUGGCUUCAGAGUAGCCUCUAAUCAUGGUAUUCCAAAUAUAAGUACUGGGGUUUUGUAUCUGUGAAAACAGAAGACGAGCAUGAUUUAUAUCUGCAGUGUGAGAGAAGGCAAAAGGCCAAGGCAAGACAAAGCUUGGGGGUAGAUUAGCCAGACUAUAAAGGAGAAGGACUUAUUUGUACUUGUUCCAAGAUUUUGAGUCAAAAUAAUACCGCUUCUUUUCCUUCAAACGCAAUCUCGUCCUUCGUUCCAGGAUCCAAUUAAUAAGCAAAUCAUGGAGACUUGGCUGUUGACCUCAACACUCUCGUCUGCAUUGACCGAAGCAUUGACCUCUUCAAUAUCUUGGAUGUGAACCAGGCUUGGAAUAUUGGGUGUUCUUGUUUUUGAUACAUUUAAAGAGGUUUGGGCCAAUUUUGAUGCCUUUUGUGAAUCUUUCCAUCUGGGCUUAUCAAACCAGGGGGAGGAAAGAAGCAUGUGCUCUAAGUCCGCCCAAAGUUUCAUCAAUAAGGUCCGCAGAGAGGGAGAGCUACAUCCUGCAUUUUCUUGAGAUUUCUGCGAGGUUUUUGUUCGAAUAAGCAACAAGGUGCACGAUGUUGUUGAAGGGCAAAUCCUUCCAUGCCUGUCCAAAAUUUGAAGUCAUUUUCAAUUCUGGGUCCACACUAUAUUUUUUAUAAUAUAAUCUCUAGAAUUACGCUCGAUCUCUGCAGCAUGCAUCGAGUAAUCGCUUUUGGAUUUCGAGUUCCACUGAUUUGAAAUGCUCGGUGUCUGUGUUUGAAAAAUUUGCCACACCGGAUCACGUCUGUACCAUCGACCGAGACCGUCAGCGCUGUGGGCAAUGACGUUUCUACUCGGACGAGGCUAUACGAUUUCUUUUUGACAGGCAGCGGUUUCUUAUCCUUGUUCUUUAUUAAUUUUUCCCAAAGGUUUCCUAUUAAGAUAGUUUAGACACCAAAAAAAUUAAAAAACAUACUUAUCUUGUAAUCCGAAACAUGUUUGUUCGUUUUAUAUUUAUAUUUGUACUUUCUAUUUUAAAACAAUAA